CUGUCUGUGUGUGCGUGUGUGUGCUCGCCCGCUGCACCAGAGAGAGAGCGCGCCAGGCUGAAGAGACUGUGACUCUGAGCUUAAAGACACACAGCUCUCUCCUCCUCUCUCCUCCUCUCUCCCUCAUUCUCUCUCCUCCUCUCUCCCUCAUUCUCUCUCUCUCUCGCUCUCUCUCCUCUCUCUCUCUUCCUCCCUGUUGACUCUCUGUGUCACACGAUCGCUCUUUUUCCGGAAAGGACUGCAACGAACGAGCGUCUUCCUGGGCAGCGCCACCUUCUGCCUGGGGGAGCUGGUGACCCACCAACAGCUUACUCUCAACCUGCGGUCGUCUGAUGGUGUGUCUGUGGCAGGGGCGGUGGUGGUGACCCAUCUGAAGAUGGGAGAGAUGGAGGAGGGAGACAUGGAACACAUCACUGCUGACAUGAAGGGGCAGAAGUGCACGUUGGUGUGUGAGUCUGCGUCUCACGGAACAUCCAAUGACAAAGACAGUGGCCCUCUGACCGGUCCUG